rnacentral:tRNA from 1 species
GGCGGAGUAGCUCAGAGGUAGAGCAGGGGACUCAUAAGCCCUUGGUCGGUGGUUCGAAUCCGCCCUCCGCUACCA